AUUGAAUUAAACUUGCCGGGUCGUUUCAAAUAUACUUAUGAGCUUCUUGAUGCUACCACUCGCCGACCGAGUGGCGCUGUUCGCGACAGUUUUAUUUGUCGUUGCAAUUCCUUCAGUCAGAAUUCGAAAGUCUUCUAAGACUCGGUGCAUCCGGUGGCAGCCAUCUUUGAAAUGGAUUGACAACGUUCUCUAGCAUACUAUGUUUUACACCAAGUGUACGUUUCUUGUUAGUUCACAAAGUACAAACGAACAGCCCCUCAUUCGCAUUGUUAAAUUAUCCAAAAGCUAUGUAUAAUUUUUGAUUAACUCAAUGAUACAAGAGCGUUUCACACAGAGGCCAUUAACCUAGGACCUUGACAGUGAUCGAAUGUAUAUACAUGAGAUACACCAGUGCAAGAUCUCUGAUAUUAUCAAUUAGGCAUUUCAACAGUUGCAGGACAAUAAAGAAAUAGUAAGAAAAUACAACUGGAGGUCUUAACGGUCGAAAUAAAUCCAAAUGAAAGGUUAGAUUUGAUUAUACGUAUAGAUAUACUUACAGUACAGUCCCUAUGGUAUCAUCGGCGUGAGAGCACUAGUCAUUUUCUAGUAAUUUUAUGUUUCGUAAUUCGAGAAGCAUGUUACGAAUUUUCACCAGACCAGAUUCUAUGUGGAAUUGCGCAAGGGACACAGGUGAUGAUAAAGAAAUAUUAGGAUUGUAUACUACCGUAAUACGAAUUGGGGCCUGGUCGCUCGUGACGGGGCCUUGUUGUCCAGACCAUACGAAACAGUUUGGUAUACAGUCCCGUUGUUCGGAGUCUUAGAUUUCAGAAUCUGAUUAUGCACGAGUUCCAGAUAGCAAAAAUAUACAGACCAAAGGGCGUUAGUCUUGUAUGCCAAAUAAAUCAAUUUAGACCGGCAAGUAUCAUCUGGGUGAUUCUACUGAUCCUAACCGAAAUCUAAUGAGAUUCACCAGUGUCGAGGUUGAAAAUACGACCGCUAGAUGGCCAAAUGCGAAGCACUAAAGUUCUCACUCAAAUGCAUAUGUAUUUGGGAUUAGUAUACAUACAUGUAUUAAAACGUAGAAUGGGAACAACCUUAAUCCUUUGGAACACUUUGAGUGACAUCAUAUCGGCGUCUUCGAUAGCCAUUUAUUAUGAUCCGGUCAGAGCGCUCUUCAUAUCAAGCACAUUAACCUCUACAGGGCCGGAGGGAUGUCUUUCACACUUCUACAGGCUAACGACGAUCGGAUUUGAAAUUUGGACUACUUUGCCAAAUUUUUGGUGGGUUUUAUUCGUUCGUAAUUGUAAUUGAAAAAUGCAUUUACGCUGUCCUACGGAUUUACAUGCCUGAACUAUAAGGAUUGGGUCACUUAGAAUGGACAGAGUUGCGUGCGCGACGAUUAAAGAUCCCAAUGCCAAGAUCGUGCAGGAUUGUAUGUAUAAGGCCAUAAAAAACCAGGAUGUGUUAUACCCACUACGAGUCACAGCCAUCUACAGAUUCAUUGACCUGGUCUAAGUCUUACGAUCUAAGCUUGGUGACGUUGACCCAAAUUGUACAAAGAGUCGGUUAGUUGGAAGAAUUUUACAAGGGAAUAAGUACACAGAGAAAUAACCUCAGUAACAGGUAUACUUAUGAAAAACGGCAAAAUCCAAAGUGCUUGUACAUCUACAACGAGGAGCGCAUAGGCCUGUUUUUGUUUCACCAAAUGUAUGCACCUAAUUGCAGUGUUGCCCCACUCGAUGAAUCGAAAAAAUAAUUGACUACGUAGUAAAAUUCAUAAAAAAUCAUGACGGAAGCUAAAUAAAUUCUACGUUUAUCCGAGCCUUAAAUAUGUCCUAUUAAAAUAAUUGCAGGAGCAUUAAAAUAUUUAAAAAGUUAUUUAUAACAAUCGAAUGGGUCGUACAAGGAGGAAGACGUUAAAAAUAUAAAUGAACAACAGAGAUAUCUGCCUGUGUUAAUAAAACGAAUUAAUAACGUACACGGCUAUGGACACUGAUAAAAUAGAAACAAUAUCAUGUGUAUCGUACCAUUGAUACCGUUUGAAUGACAUAGAAUUUUUGUAUAAUAGAUAAUUAACUGCUUAUCGCAGUCAGACAAAGAAUUUCGAUUGUUUUUAAUUGCAAGAAUAUUUUACACGUGUAAUUACACUUCCGUGAUAUAACUUGACACAAAGAAACGGGCGAAUUUGUUUCCUAAAAUCUGCUCGGAGGCUGCUGUAAUGUAAAAAAAUAAGAUGAAAAAAAAUAAAACGAACAUCGAUAGGCCGUUGCGUGGUACAUAAAAGAUUUUGGAUUUUCUGUAGGCGAAGCACUGACGUGAAACUUGGAAGUCAAGAGCUUUACAGUCAGAUGACAUGCGAUGUCCAACUUAAUGUUAAUCACGAGGACAUAAUAAGAAUUUCAACGAUUUCAUUAUAGCGAUACCAGUCAAGAGAGAUUAUGCAUAAUUACACAAAACGGCGUAAACUAAGAAGGAAGUAAAUAUAAUUAUGAGUAUACACAAGUUGGAUAAUUAAAAAAAAAUAUAUAUCUAUACAUACGCUACCGCGUUAUCCUACUUAAUUCUUCGUUACGCAAUUUCCAAUAGAAAUCUCUUUGCGUAUCUCAUGCACGUUCGAAAAAGCGCCUCGCGACGAGGUGACGAUAGAAUUUCGAAAAGAGGAGAAAAAUUACCAAACUACAAUCGGUACGAGUUUACACAGAAAAAUAUUGCGCUACCGAGAACCUCAUGGUAUAGAAACAAAAAAAAAAAAGAACAAAAAUUCCAUACCAUUCCCAAAAGCAUAGACCUACUAUACAUAAGCUGUAACUGGUCCCAUAGUGAAACGACCUGUAUAUCAGCAAGCUAAUAGAAACAAAUGAUCAUGAACGUCUUUCUUAAUACAUUACACCGUAUCAUACCGUACAGGCUGUUACAUAUCAAGUAUUCAAAUGGUGUCGUCCGUGUCAAACAGGCACCAUUAAUAGGUAGGCAAACAUCUAUAUGAAAAGAAUACACAGGAUACCCAAGUCUCCUCUGGCUACUGUACAAACAUGGUUACCUUCUAUUUGUCACAACAGUUUCUGUUUGCUCAGGUCUCCCGAAAAGAUUUUCGACCGCGACUCCAUUUGUCGAGGGCACGUGACAUUUGCAUUUUCGACAUUAUUUACAGGACGCCGCCGUAGCCUACGUGCGUAUGCAUACCUACGCGUGCAUAUCUCCACGCAUGGAUACAUAGCCCCGUUAUGUACUACAUGCUAAUACAUAUAUAUACACAUCAGUGAAGUUAUCCCUUUACCGAAAGCCGGUGUCGCUUCUAUGCACAAUAAAUGCACAUACGUAACGUGGUCAAUAUUGAAAUCCUGUCGAUAGAUUUUCCAAGAAUUUUUUCCAACCACUAUUGAUCGUUCCAAAAAAAAGAAAUACUCGAUUCUUCAUUAAUUAUUUAAUAUCUCGUUACUAACCUGCGUCUGGUAUCGUAAGCGUACUUCAGACCGGUAUAAAGCGACGCGCCUGUGAUUACCGUAACAAAGUAAUUUAAUUAGGGUACACGUCAUGGCUCCGUGCGAUACAGCCGACCUGCUUACAGUCUAACAGUUCUAACCUUUUCGAAAGUACUUCCUCAGUCGGUAAAUUAGGUAUUUCGGUAGCGUAUGCGAUUUUUUAAUUUUAUUUCGAUAUCCUACGCUUUUGCGAUACAUGCGGCGCAUCGCAAUCCGCUUUCAAUUCGCCACGAGUCAUAUUGAAAUAGUUGAUUAAUAACGUAACUAGCAGUAGUAUGCCUAGCGUCGACUAACGAUACAAUUUUCGACUGUGGCUUGAGGUCGUCAGUAUCAAUGUAUUACGGGCCGGCUGCUCGUCUCUAAUUCGAAUAUUCUUAAUACAAUUAUCUACUAAUGGGCAUACCUGGCACUGCUGUACAAGCAGUGUUUGCCCUGUAACGAAAAAAGAAAAAUAUUAAAAUUUUACUACCUGCCAUAGAUCCAUAUGUUGUAUACACGUUAGUAAUUAUACAGUCAGGAAUGUGUAUCCUUGGUAUUUACAUGUAACAAUUUUUUUACGUACCUAAUUAUAUAUAUGGAUAUAUUGUGUAUACGCAUGUAUGUCUAUAUACGGAAUGCUAAGUACCUUCCGCUUCAUCUCUACUCAAAACGUGCGUGCCUCUGCCUUUAAUAAAUUAUCCAAGACGUUCGCACUUGUCUUGAGAAAUUCUUUCGGAAUCCUAACUAUUAGCGACACGUCAAUACGUUUUGUCAUAACAAAUUGCGCCUUCCAAAAGUCACGCGAUUUCGACCAGACGGUCACAACGGUACCAAUUGAUUUUUAAAUAUAUUCUUUAUAACUAUGUACGUAUAUAAUGGAUAGCGCAUAAACA